rnacentral:rRNA from 1 species
UGGGGAAUAUUGCACAAUGGGCGCAAGCCUGAUGCAGCCAUGCCGCGUGUGUGAAGAAGGCCUUCGGGUUGUAAAGCACUUUCAGCGGGGAGGAAGGCGAUAAGGUUAAUAACCUUGUCGAUUGACGUUACCCGCAGAAGAAGCACCGGCUAACUCCGUGCCAGCAGCCGCGGUAAUACGGAGGGUGCAAGCGUUAAUCGGAAUUACUGGGCGUAAAGCGCACUCAGGCGGUCUGUCAAGUCGGAUGUGAAAUCCCCGGGCUCAACCUGGGAACUGCAUUCGAAACUGGCAGGCUAGAGUCUUGUAGAGGGGGGUAGAAUUCCAGGUGUAGCGGUGAAAUGCGUAGAGAUCUGGAGGAAUACCGGUGGCGAAGGCGGCCCCCUGGACGAAGACUGACGCUCAGGUGCGAAAGCGUGGGGAGCAAACAGG